AAAUAGCCAUCAGAUUGCUGACAGCUUCUGUUGUACUGGCAAGUUCCUGGCGCAGCCUUGUGGCGCCAUCCCCAGGGCAGGCAAGUAUCCUGCUUAACGCUGUGAGUGACUUGCUUAGCAUUCGAACAACCAUUGUGUCCUCCCGGACAUUGUUGAGAAAGUCAGGGCUGCUCAGUGGUGAUGUGAUCUUAGAGAGCAGCCUUGGGUGUUUGCUUAUCUCUGUACAGUUCUCUUCGCCCUGUGUGAGCCCCUCGAGAAUCAGCAGGCCUUGAGAAACCAGUUCUUUGGGUCCUCUAAAGGUAUAGGUAAAUCUCGACGGCGUGGGGGGCGACGAGGGGGCGCCGGCGACGACAUUGGCCGGGGACGAAGGCAACCAGCGAUGGGGACGGAGAGGAGGCAGCAUUGGGGAUGGAGGACAGCAACGGGGACGAAGGCGGCGGUGGGACGGAGGAGGCGGAGGCGGCGACGGGGACGGAGACCGGCGGUGAGGGAGGCAAACGGGCGGGAUCUCAGACGACGUGGUGAAAAUUUCGCUAAAUCUUGGGCGCGAGGGAGGUGAACAGGCGGGAUCUCAGACGACGUCAGUUACUUUUAUUUCCCCCCCCCCCACACACACACACACCUUUUAUCCCAGUUCGUAAAUGAAUCUGGGACUAAUGAUCAUUUUAUCCCGCGUCCAAUUUGCAACCGGGAUAAAAGCGUUGGCCUUUAUCCCGGUUGUAAUAAGGAACCGGGAUAAAAAGGGUACGUUCUAAGCGGGAACCGAAGAGUACCCUUUUAUCCCGAUUCCAGAUUGUAACUCAGAUAAAAGGAGGCUCCUCAACCGGGAUAAAAGGUCCCUCACCCAUUUUUCAUCUCCCGCUUAUUUUUUAGAAAUGGAUUUUAUUUAUGUUUUUGCUGGAUUUAAUGAAACAAAAAUUAAAAACUUUACAUAUUUCGAACAUGCAAAAAUAUAUUAAAUUAGCAAGUAUAUUUACAAUAAGUUUGAAUGAGUCAUAAAUUCUAUACUAUUCCUUUUUCUUCUAAAAUAAUUAUUUUAGUUCAUCACUAUCAUCAAAUUAAUUAAAUAAUUUCAACACGUGAAAAAUUCAAUUGAUGUAUGUGCUCAACAUUAUUCAUAUUGAUGGAAUAAAUCUUCAUCUCAACUAAUGUUGACAUACAAAUUUAUAUAAGUUUUCAACUGGUUUUGUUAAAGAAAAAAAAUCAGAACUUUGCAUAUUUUGACCAUGCAAAAAUAUAUUAAAUUAGCAAGUAUAUUUACAAUAAGUUUGAAUGACUCAUUAAUUCUAUACUAGUUAUUUUAGCUUCUAAAAUAAUUAUUUUACUGCAUCACGAUCAUCAAGAAAUUAUUCAAUUAAUUAAAUAAUUUCAACGCGCGAAAAAUUCAAUUGAUGUAUGUGGUUAACAUUUUUCAUAUUUAUUGAAUAAAUUUUCACCUCAACUAAUUUAAACACACAAGAAAUCAUAGAUACGUUAAAUUAAAAAUUGUGUCAAGUAGUACAUGAAAUCAUAGAACCUUACAAUAUAACUUUACAUAAAGGUGAAGCAAAUUUAGCGCAUUACAAUGUAACGUUAGAAAACUUUUUCUUCACGAAAGUUCCUUAGUCAUGAUCGCGGCGUAAAUACGGAGCCUCUUCUUUGGAUAGCAAGAUGCAUGUGUCAACUUCAACAGCGAAUGGAGACAGGCCAUCAAAUUGAUCAUAAUCAUCUGAUUGGUCUGUUUUAUCCUUGACUCCAACGAUUUUUCUUUUAAUUGGAAGAAAUAUGUGGCGCUUUGGCUCCCAUGGCUCUUCUGGAUUUCUCUUGGGUUUGCUAGACAUGUCCUUCACAUAGAAAACUUGAUGCACCUCAUUGGCAAGUACAAAUGGUUCAUCACUGUAUCCAGUCUUGCUCAGGUCUACUAUUGUCAUUUCAUACUGAUCUUUGGUUACGCCCUUAGCUUCACCCAUAGGCAACAAAAUAGAGGGAUGCAUACUGGUCCGUAUUCGAGUUCCCAUAUCUCCUCUAUGAAACCAUAAUACGAGUCCUUGCUACUGUUUCUAUCUAUGGCAUCUAUGCGGACACCACUAUUCUGGUUCGUGCUUUUCUGGUCUUGGGCUCUCAUGUAAAAUGUAUAACCAUUGAUCUCGUAGCCUUGGAAUUUCAUGAUUGUGCUAGAAGGUCCCCUAGCUAUCAAGCAAGUUGUGUGUGAAUCUCAGAGUUACCCAUAUGUUGUUGGUGCAACCAGGAGGGAAAAGUUUCCACGCGGCUUCUUAUAAGCCAGGCAUCGGAUCUUGUCAAGUUUUUGGAAACUAGCAUCUGCUUGUGAUGCUCGAUAUACAGAGCCACAACGGUUGACUGUUGCAGAACAUUGUAGUGUGCCUUGUUGAACAAAUCAGUAUCAUUUCUCAAACUUACUUUCCUUCCUAGGGUGCCCAUUUCCCGCAGCCUCCCCUUGUGGCGUGAAGUUGGAACCCCAAUUGAGUCAAUAAAAUUAACACAAAACUCAAUCACCUCCUCUAUUCCAUAUCCCUUGGCGAUGCUUCCUUCUGGAUGGGCAUGAUUAAGAACAUAGUUUUUUAGACUGACAUGAACCUCUCAAAAGGCCACAUAUUGUAUAAGUAUACUAGUCCGAGAAUACUACUCUCUUUUACUAGGUGAACCAGGAGGUGCGUCAUAAUAUUGAAGAAGGAUGGUGGAAAUACCAACUCAAAGCUGACAAGACGUUUGCACCACAUCAUUUUGUAGCUUUGUUAGCUUUGAUGGAUCAAUUGCCUUCUGCAAAAUCGCAUUGACAAACACGCAUAGCUUUACGAGCGGCAAUCGGACAUUCUCUGGUAGAACACCCCUCAGUGCAACCGGAAGCAACUGGGUCAUCAACAUGUGGCAGUCAUGGGCCUUGAGAUUUGUGGCUGUGGCGGAACCACCUCGGAUUAACUCAACUAAAGCACAGUUAAGUCGCUUUAAAUGCGAUACUCAUGCCUUAAUCGUGCUAACUCGAGAUGCCAUCGGAUUUCAUCCGAUUUAACCACUUUGACAGGACCGAGUUUAGCAAAACCCACACGAAGGUGAGUGGUUCCAGAGAAUACAACAGGCCCAACAGUAGAUUAUAAGUUCUUACACACUUGGUUAAAAUCAGAGUUUUACAAGUUCCGAAGAAAACGACAGGAGGUAAACACAAGCGGAAACUAGCGCCGGGGUCGGAUGUCCUUGAUGAGGCCGAUCAGGACAUCAGUGAUCCCUUUCCUUGCCGUCCGAGGAGGGAUCCCACUCGACCGUCCAACCUGGAGGGAGUUGGGGCGGCCAAGAGCCAACAGGAGCAGACUUAGGAGCUGCGACUUCACCUGAAAAGAAAGCCACAAACAAGGCUGAGCUACUAAGCUCAACAAGACUUAACUGACCGGGAGUAAAACUACUCCACCACUUCUAAACAUGCGAGGCUCUUUGGCUGAGGGGUUUGUUUGCCAAAGCACUAAGUAGAUCCUUAUUUUCAAAGUUUUAGCUCAGAUUCUAAGUUCAUUAACCGGUCUAAGUCAGCAACUUACUCUAAGCAACAUAGAUCCAACCAAAAGGGUAUAUAAGCAUCAUCAAGAUCAUGUCAUCAUCAGAUUCCUUUAUUACUCAGUGUAGCAUAGCGAUCAAGUAGUCUCAAACUGCGAGAGGUAGACAAAUCGAUUCGAGUUCUUUAACCAUACAUGGUGAACCUAACCUCAUGACAUCUGCGCACCACCGAGGGUCGCUUCCUGUAUUGGCCUUCCCCAUCAAUUCCCUAACCCGUGUCGGGCCCAUUUCCUUUGGUGCAAGGUUCCACAGACCCGGCCUCUGCCGUUCUGUGACCACACUUGUGUUGGGAUACGAGGUAGGCUACACUAGCGCAAAUCAAAAUUUCUACCGCGUAAAACCAGGAAGAACUGCCGUAUAAGGAUCACGGGAUUACCACUCGACGCACUACUGGUGCGGAAGAUGUAGAUAUGCGUCGAUGCAGUGAAGACGAUCACGUAGUCAUACGUAGUCGAUCAACGUAGUCGUACGUAGUCGAUCACGUCACGUCCAGCAGCUCCUCAGCAGCUCGUCCACGUGCAGCAAGAUCGCCUCUGGUGCCGCGGCUCGUCGUCGGCUCGUCGUGGCUCGUCGGCGGCUCGUCGAUGGCUCGUCCAAGUGCUUCAGGCGCAACACCUCCAAGGUAUCCACACGUGCAGGGAGGAAGCGUCACAAGCCGGACUGCUAGAUCCGCGAGUUGCAACAGGCGAGGGCGUGGGAGGCGCGGCAGGUGUGUUUCGCCAAAAAGGUGUAAACCCUAGGGCGCCCCCACCCCUCUAUUUAUAGAGGUUCCUGACGGGCCUCUAGAUCCGAGGCCCAUUAGUACUUCUAAACCUAAUCCAACUCAGAUCUGAUCCGAAUUGGGCUUCCAGCCCCUUAAGUGUGUGACCCUAUGGGUUCGGAUACGUAUAGACAUGGCCCGAGUACUCCUACUCGGCCCAAUAGUCGGUACCGGCCUCUAGCAAGACGUGCCAACUCCUAUACGUACAUGAAGAUCAUAUCAGACGAACCACCACAACAUAAUAUACAUGCUAUUCCCUUUGCCUCACGAUAUUUGGUCUAGCUUCAAGCCGACCGCUCUUUCUCGAUCCUGUGAUUCGGAAUCCCUUUGUAGGUUAACUCUUAACCGUACGUAGCAUGGCCAUCAUUUUCGGAUCCGAUCACUCGAGGGGCCCAGAGAUAUCACUCUCAAUCAGAGAGGGGCAAAUCCCAUCUUGAUUGACCAUGUCUCAUAGCAUGCUUCUUGACAAACCCGAAAGCUACCUUUAUAACUACCCUGUUACGGCGUAGCGUUUGAUAGCCCCUAAGUAGGUCGAUCCACAUCUAGAAUACAUGCGACAAUCUCAGGUCUAAGGACAAAGCGUAUAUGUUGUUUUAAAGAGAUAACUACUUCUCGUGUUGGGUCAGUCCUAGCACAUGUCUCCACAUGUGUCCACAUUAUUAGUUCAACAUCUCCAUGUCUAUGACUUGUGAAACAUAGUCAUCAACUAAUACAUGUGCUAGUCUAAUAUUCAUGUGUGUCCUCACAUGAACUCCGACUAGGGACAACUUUUAGAAUAAUCAUACAAGUAAAGAGUUUCACAUACAAUUCACAUAAUUGCAAAUCAAUUCAAGUAGCCUUUAAUGGAUAUUCAAUGAACACAAUAUACAAAUCAUGGAUACAAAUGGAAUAUCAUCAUCUCUAUAAUUGCCUCUAGGGCAUACCUCCAACAGUCUCCCACUUGCACUAGAGUCAAUCUAGAAGGUACCUAAUACCCAUAGCUCUUACAUGCACAUCAUGCUUAGCCUGCGGGAGUGGUUUUGUCAACGGAUCAGAAAUGUUCAGAUCCGUGUGUAUUUUGCAUAUCUGAUCUCACCCCGGUUAACGAAGUCUCGAAUGAGAUGAAAUCGCCGCAUUACGUGUUUGUUCUUCUGGUGGUUCCUUGGCUCCUUUGCUUGCGCAAUUGCCCCAUUAUUAUCACAGUAGAGAUUCAAUGGGCUGGACGCAUUCGGGAACACACCAAGCUCAAUGAGGAAAUUCCUUAUCCAAACACCUUCCUUCGCGGCUUCCGAAGCCGCGAUGUACUCGGCUUCUGUCGUAGAAUCGGCCACCGUCUCCUGCUUGGAACUCUUCCAACUAACAGCACCACCAUUUAGCGUGAACACAAAUCCUGAUUGUGACUUUGAAUCAUCUUUGUCGGUUUGGAAACUAGCAUCGGUGUAACCUGUUACAACGAGCUCCUCCUCACCUCCAUAGACGAGGAACAUAUCUUUAGUCCUUCUCAAGUACUUAAGAAUGUUUUUCACCGCUGUCCAGUGACUCUCACCUGGAUCAGAUUAGUGUCUGCUUGUCAUACUUAGCGCAUAUGAAACAUCUGGGCGAGUACUUAUCAUUGCAUACAUGAUAGAUCCAAUAGCCGAGGCAUAUGGCACUCUACUCAUGCGAUCCCGCUCAUCAGCAGUCGAAGGACACUGAGUCUUGCUGAGAUGUAUGCCAUGUGACAUAGGCAAGAACCCUUUCUUUGCCUCUUCCAUGUUGAACCGCUUCAACACUUUGUCAAUGUAAGUAUCUUGGCUUAAACCUAUAAGCCUUCUCGAUCUAUCUCUAUAGAUCUUAAUACCCAGAAUAUAUGCCGCUUCCUCUAAGUCCUUCAUCGAAAAACUAUUUUUCAAUGAAGUCUUUACGGACUCAAGCAUAGGAAUGUUAUUUCCAAUCAGUAAUAUGUCAUCCACAUAUAAGAUUAGAAAUACUACAGAGCUCCCACUAACCUUCUUGUAAACACAAGACUCUUCUUCGUUCUUGGUGAAGUCAAACCCUUUGACCACUUCAUCAAAACGAAUGUUCCAACUCCUAGAUGCUUGCUUCAAUCCAUAAAUGGAUCUCUGAAGCUUGCAUAUCUUUCCAGCAUUUUUCGGAUCGACAAAACCCUCAGGCUGUAUCAUAUACACGUCCUCAGUUAGGUUUCCAUUCAGGAAAGCUGUCUUGACAUCCACCUGCCAUAUCUCAUAAUCGAAAUAUGCAGCUAUAGCUAGAAUAAUCCGAAUAGACUUAAGCAUCACUACGGGCGAGAAGGUCUCGUCGUAGUCAACUCCUUGAACUUGUCGAAAACCUUUUGCGACAAGUCAUGCUUUAUAGAUGUGAACAUUUCCAUCCAUGUCCUUUUUCUUCUUAUAGAUCCACUUGCACUCAAUGGCUUUAACACCAUCAGGCGGGUCAACCAAGUUCCAAACUUGAUUGUCUCCCAUGGACUCUAUUUCGGAUUGCAUGGCACUCUGCCAUUUUUCGGAGUCUGGGUCCAUCAUUGCUUCUGCAUAUGUCGCAGGCUCAUCAUUGUCCAACAAUAAUAUUUCCCGCAUUUCGCGAAGCCUUGCCGACCUUCGUGGUUGUGGCGGUGCUUCUCUUGCCAUGGGUAUCUCAACUUGUUCUGCUACGUUAGCAUCACUCAUUGAUUCUUGCCCGAUCGGCUCAUCUUGAACUUCUUCAAGAUGCACUGUCUUUCCACUCUUUUCUCCUUUGAGAAACUCUUUCUCUAGGAAAACCCCGUUCCGAGCGACAAACACUUUGCCUUCUGAUCGGUUGUAGAAAUAAUAUCCCAAGGUUUCCUUUGGAUAUCCCACGAAAAUACACUUAUCCGACUUGGGUGUGAUCUUGUCCGACUGAAGUCGCUUGACAAACACUUCACAUCCCCAAAUCUUUAGAAAAGACAAACUAGGAACCUUUCCAGUCCAUAUCUCAUAUGGUGUCUUAACUACGGAUUUAGAUGGUACCCUAUUAAGUGUGAAAGCUGCUGUUUCUAGAGCGUAUCCCCAAAAUGACAACGGUAGGUCCGACUGGCUCAUCAUUGAUCGAACCAUGUCUAACAAAGUUCGAUUACGUCGCUCGGACACACCGUUUCUCUGAGGUGUUCAGGCGGCGUAAGUUGUGGAACAAUUCCGCAACUCUUUAGAUGAUUGCUAAACUCGUGGCUCAAAUACUCGCCUCCACGAUCAGAUCGUAAGGCCUUAAUUUUCUUGCCACGCUGAUUUUCAACUUCAUUCUGAAAUUCCUUGAACUUUUCAAAGGUUUCAGACUUGUGCCUCAUCAAGUAGACAUAGCCAUAUCUACUAAAAUCAUCAGUGAAAGUUAUGAAGUAUUGGAAUCCUCCUCUAGCCGUCGUGCUCAUCGGUCCGCAUACAUCACUAUGUACGAGUUCCAACAAGUCUACUGCUCUCUCAGGAAAUCCUGUGAAAGACGUCUUGGUCAUCUUGCCUAGCAAGCAAGCCUCACAUGUCUCGUAUGAUUCAAAAUCAAACGAAGUUAGAAGUCCAUCAGAAUGGAGCUUCUUCAUGCAUUUUUCACUUAUAUGACCCAAACAACAAUGCCACAAGUAGGUAGGACUCAAAUCAUUAGGCCGAGGCCUUUUAGCACUUACAUUACAGACAGGUGAACCAUCAAGAUUUAAGAUAAAUAAUCCAUUCACAAUGGGUGCAAAAGCCAUAAACAUAUUAUUCUUAGAGAUCACACAACCAUUGUUUUCACUCGCAAAUGAAUAACCAUCCUUCAUCAAGCAUGAAGGAGACAAAAUGUUUCGACUUAAACUAGGAACAAAAUAACAAUUAUUCAACUCCAUAAUAAAUCCUGACGGGAGGUGGAGUUGCAUCGUCCCGACGGUCAACGCAGCAACUCUUGCAUUAUUGCCCACGCGGAAAUCAACUUCUCCUCUUUCCACGCUUCUACUUCUUAUCAUUCCCUGCAUCAAAUUGCAAAUAUGAGCAACCGAUCCGGUAUCAAAUACCCAAGAAUUAAUAAUUGUAUCAGCGAGAAAUAUGUUGUCUAUAACAUUAAUAACAAGCGUACCUGAGGUAGAAGUACUCUUACUUCUGCCAUUCUUCAAUGAAGCUAGGUACUGCUUGCAGUUUCUUUUCCACUGACCAAGUUCAUGACAGUAAAAGCACUCUUUGUCUGGAGCAGGUCCAGGUCCAGCUUUAACCUUGGGCGCUGGGUUUGGCUUGGACGUUCCAGCCUUGCCCUUCUUCUUCCAAGAAUUGCCCUUCUUCUUAAAGCUAGGCUUGUUCUGUAUAGCCAUCACAUGGCUGGUACUAGCGCUUUUCUUGAUGUCCACCUCUGCUGUCUUGAGCAUACCACACAGUUCAUUCAAACCCUUUUCCGUCCCAUGCAUAUGGUAGUUCGAGAUGAAGUUCCCAUAGCUAGGCGGAAGAGAUGAAAGAAUGAAGUCAGUGGCCAACUCUUUGCCCAUUGGGAAGCCCAGCUUCUCCAAUCACUGAGUGUAACCAACCAUCUUGAUUACAUGUGGUCCUACUGCUGCGCCUUCUGCUAACUUGCACUCCAGAAAGGCUUUGGACACAUUGAACCUUUCGGUCCUAGCCUGUGUCUGGAACAUGUCCUUGAGUGUCACGAUCAUAUCGUGUGCCUCAUGAUUUGUUUCGAACUGCAUCUGCAGCUCGGGUUCCAUGCAAGCAAGCAUAAGGCAGCUUACCUCAAGAUUAGCAUCAAAUGCCUUCUUGUAAGCAGCCUUAACGGCAGUAGAUGCAUCAUCAGCAGGUACUGGUGGUAGUGGGGUGUCUAGAACAUCUUCCUUUUUAUCGGCCCUGAGAACAAUUCUCAGGUUACGGAUCCAAUCCGAGUAGUUUGUUCCAUUCAACUUGUCCUUCUCAAGGACCGAACGCAAAGCAAACGAUGUGGUGGUGUUGCUAGGUGCCAUUUAAUCUACAACAAAAGUAAUGCAAAAUACACUAAGACAAACGUAUCCAUGAUAGAGCAAAUUAUAUUAAACUAUUUUAACAGAAUCUACUCCCACUAAAAUCAAUAUCCCUCUAUUGAAACUUAGUGAUUCAGGAUCCACAACUAACAAGUCCACUAGUGAGCUUUAGCAUCACCGCUAGCAAACGAGGUAGAUCGGUAAGCAACUUUUGCUAAUCAUAUCACAUAUGACUCCUAUUGUUGGGUGACAUCUCUAUGUCUCGGUGCCCAACCUUUAUGCCCCAAGGUCCUUAACCGUUAAGAUAACCUUGUUAAGCAAACCAACCCUUAUGCAUGUAAGUGUCCGACACAAACCCGUCUAGUCAAGGAAAACUAGUGGCACCCUAAUUUCAUAGACCCACCACUAAUUGUACAAGACAUGGGACGGUGCAAGUUUUAGUUGGGAGGGCAUACUAACUUAAACUUUGUGAGGGAUCGUUCUACUUCUAACAUCACAGCAUGCAGAAAGUAAAACAUAAACAGAAUAGCAUUCACACAGUUGUGACAAAGUAUGGCCCGUUUUCAUAUGGUGAUCUCCAUCUCCAUAGAACCUGUUCACCAUGGUGAUCUCCAUCUCCAUGUUCCAUGUGUGCCAUCCUCCUGGUGAUGAGUCCUCCAAGAACUAGAGCAUGCUAUUACGCCUAAUAGCUAGUAAAGAAUCUAGUAAUGAAGAUUACAUAGUUGCUUGGAUCAUCACAGAUUGGUACGCAGACCAUUAAAUACAAUAAAGUGACAACACAUAUGACUCCUGCCGUGUUGCCGUACGCGCGACACGCAGGUCACAAAUGAGUUACACACAUGCAUCACAUACACAAGGGGCCAUACUGAUCACAAGAUACAUACAUAUAUCCUGCAAAACAGAGUUAGGCGUCCUAACGUUCCAAACUUCGGAGGCCCGAAACUCCAUCUUCCAAGCCGAAUUUGGGAAAUCUAAUUUUGCCGAAAACGGCAAAGCCGUUGAAUUUCAUGUGUAACUUUUUCCGUAGAUCAAUUUUCAUAUAAAAUUCGCCCCGAUCCGAGAUCAUACCGAAAAGUUACGGCUGAUUUACCGAAGUAUACGCAUACGACAAAAAUCCCGACCCCGGCAGUAGAUCACAUCUACCAUUGCACAUCUAAUGCGCCUGGCGUAUGACCCUGGAUUUCGAUUCGACCAAUCAUAUUGAUCUUCGCUCACUGCAACUGGAUUUACAUGUAUCACUUAACUCCGAUGGCGGAAACCGACCGGUAGGAGUAUGUCGUUACACUACCAUUGCAGCAAGGGCACGAAAACAGGACAUAGAUCAAACGGAAAACUCGCAUAUCUCCAUAUGCACACAUCCCGAAUCCAAAACUAAGCAGCUACGGCUCUUGAUACCACUGUUGGGAUACGAGGUAGGCUACACUAGCGCAAAUCAAAAUUUCUACCGCGUAAAACCAGGAAGAACUGCCGUAUAAGGAUCACGGGAUUACCACUCGACGCACUAUUGGUGCGGAAGAUGUAGAUAUGCGUUGAUGCAGUGAAGACGAUCACGUAGUCGUACGUAGUCGAUCAACGUAGUCGUACGUAGUCGAUCACGUCACGUCCAGCAGCUCCUCAGCAGCUCGUCCACGUGCAGCAAGAUCGCCUCCGGUGCCGCGGCUCGUCGUCGGCUCGUCGUGGCUCGUCGUCGGCUCGUCAUGGCUCGUCCAAGUGCUGCAGGCGCAACACCUCCAAGGUAUCCACACGUGCAGGGAGGAAGCGUCACAAGCCGGACUGCUAGAUCCGCGAGUUGCAACAGGCGAGGGCGUGGGAGGCGCAGCAGGUGUGUUUCGUCAAAAAGGUGUAAACCCUAGGGCGCCCCCACCCCUCUAUUUAUAGAGGUUCCUGACGGGCCUCUGGAUCCGAGGCCCAUUAGUACUUCUAAACCUAAUCCAACUCGGAUCUAAUCCGAAUUGGGCUUCCAGCCCCUUAAGUGUGUGACCCUAUGGGUUCGGAUACGUAUAGACAUGGCCCGAGUACUCCUACUCGGCCCAAUAGUCGGUACUGGCCUCUAGCAAGACGUGCCAACUCCUAUACGUACAUGAAGAUCAUAUCAGACGAACCAUCACAACAUAAUAUACGUGCUAUUCCCUUUGCCUCACGAUAUUUGGUCUAGCUUCAAGCCGACCGCUCUUUCUCGAUCCUGUGAUUCGGAAUCCCUUUGUAGGUUAACUCUUAACCGUACGUAGCAUGGCCAUGCAUUUUCGGAUCCGAUCACUCGAGGGGCCAGAGAUAUCACUCUCAAUCAGAGAGGGGCAAAUCCCAUCUUGAUUGACCAUGUCUCAUAGCAUGCUUCUUGACAAACCCGAAAGCUACCUUUAUAACUACCCUGUUACGGCGUAGCGUUUGAUAGCCCCUAAGUAGGUCGAUCCACAUCUAGAAUACAUGCAACAAUCUCAGUUCUAAGGACAAAGCGUAUAUGUUGUUUUAAAGAGAUAACUACUUCUCGUGUUGGGUCAGUCCUAGCACAUGUCUCCACAUGUGUCCACCUUAUUAGUUCAACAUCUUCAUGUCUAUGACUUGUGAAACAUAGUCAUCAACUAAUACAUGUGCUAGUCUAAUAUUCAUGUGUGUCCUCACAUGAACUCCGACUAGGGACAACUUUUAGAAUAAUCAUACAAGUAAAGAGUUUCACAUACAAUUCACAUAAUUGCAAAUCAAUUCAAGUAGACUUUAAUGGAUAUUCAAUGAACACAAUAUACAAAUCAUGGAUACAAAUGGAAUAUCAUCAUCUCUAUGAUUGCCUCUAGGGCAUACCUCCAACAACUUGCCACCACAUGCGGCUGUAGGGGAACUUCGUUCCAAGGACAAUGGGGUUAGUACUUUCAAACACUUGAUCAUGAACACCACCACUGUCAGGCCUUAACAGAUUCCAUAGACAGACGGGGCGAUUAGCCGACCACCAAAAGUUAACCAGAAUCCUGCCCCAUCCAUUGUCCUUAUAGUUGUAACAGAAGGAGAAACAACCAACUCCUAUAACUCGCGAGUGACAGGAAAUCACUCGACUUUUAUCCUAUUUAAGCAUAGCAACUACUCGGUCCAACAAACUAGUGUUCAGAUCAAGGAACUACACCAUGCAUCUACGGUUGCAAACAACUCCUAACGUAAAUGCACAAACAGGAUGAAGAAGGCAUGUGCAAGUUUAGGAAAAUUGGGGUUCAUGCUCCAGGGCUUGCCUUCAAGCGAGGAGGAAGGGAAUUGGUCUUCUACUGGGGCGGCUUCGGCUUCUGGGAGCGGUAGCUCGGCUACAGCUCUAUCUUCGGGCGCCGGGUACAGCUCGUAGAUGCUGUCAGCGAGAUGCAACUCUACACGAAUGCAAAGCAGGAGUUAGUGUUUUAGACGGAUUAAUUCAACAACACUUGCAGUUAAAGCUCGAACACUGGUAGCAAAGCUACAGAAUAGGUCGGGAAGUUUACUUAAGUUGGUGGAAAGCAAGAUCAAAGGGUCGGGUGGGAAGAAACUUAUGAUCGGACCCUUAGACUAGAGGAUUAGCUGUGCUGGGGUCCUCAGACGUAAUGUAGAGAAGUUCUCGAUUUUUACACAUAUACCCUCGGGUCAAGGAAAAAGGAUACAGCUGAGUCCUCGGGUGAGGCAGAAAAGGGUCGACGAAACAGACAGGGUCGGGCGAGAUGGAGAAAGGGGUCGGGCAAACAGACAGGGUCGGGCGGGGUGGAAAAGGGGUCGGACGGACAGAUAGGGUCGGGCGAGGCGGAAAAGGGGUCGGACGGACAGACAGGGUCGGGCGAGGCGGAAAAGGGGUCGGACGGACAGACAGGGUCGGGCGAGGCGGAAAAGGGGUCGGCAGCUUAUCUUCGAUUUAUAGGUGAAGCUUUGGGGUCGGGAAGGAGCGGACUUGGGCGGAAGGACUGAAGCACUAAAACUUGGGCAGCGGCGAUGUCCGGCGGUGCUCCGGCGGUGGCGGAGCUUCUUGUGGGCAACAAGGAAGCUCUAGCACAGCGCAGAGGAGUAAGCGGCUGGGUGGAUUGGGAAAGGAGGGUGUUGAGCGGAGAGGAGAGUUCCUCAGGAACUUAGGUGGCAGCGCUCGAGCACGAAACAGAGGAACAAGGCGGUAAGGCAGCGAUGGCGAAGGGAACUCCGGUAGGACUCUAGCGUUCCCUUUUAUAGCUGCGCGGGAAGAGAGAGAGAGCUGGAGCAGCACGAAGACCGGGAAGAAAAGAGAUGGAGUGCGCUGCCAUGGAGGUGAUUGAGCAGCGAUGGGUGGCGGAACAGGGCUUCGGGGAUGACACCUUCGGCCAUUGAGCACUGGAGAUAGGGCGGCGCAGGCACGGUUUUGCCGGUGAUUGCGGUUUGGCGGAGGCGGGCGUCGUUGUGCGGCGGAUCUGAUGGGUGUGACAAGGGAAACGGCGCUAUAAGCGAGGUUGUACAGGUGAUAAGACAGGCGGGCUGCGGCUGCGCGGGCGAGCGCGAAGCAGCGGUUUGCCGGGGUGCAGCUCUGGCAAGGCGGAAAGGAGCUGUCGCGGCUGGGGUUAGGGUUGGCGAAGGAGGAAUCGUCGUUUAGUGCAUAUGGGGCGGCGCGACUUUGGAGGGGCGGCGGAAAAGCCGGGAGGCAUCGGGCCUUGCAGCCGGGGGUCCGGCGAGGUGAUGAUGGGCACGAGCUGCAAGGCGCUGCAGAAAGGGUUGCAGAGGGGCUUCCGCUGCGAUUGGGGAAGAAGGCACGGGAAUCCAUCCGGUCGCGGCCGGUGACGGGGCGGAGCGGCGGGGGUCGGAGGAGUUGAGCCACGCGGCGGAGAAACUCUGGAGCAGGCAUGCUACUCAAGUGCGUCUGCCUCGGGAGAUCUGGGAAAAGAUAGCGGGUCCACCGGUCAGUCUCGAUUUGUCCUCUGCUCAAGAUUAAGAAGGGCACUGCCUUGGGGAACUCAGAAGGGACCGACGGAAAGGGGUCGGGUUCUCAGGAGUCGGGACCGGAACUGGAGGUUGAGCACUUAGGCUCAGGGGGAGCUGAGAUAGGGGGAUCAGGGACUCAGAUUAAGAUUAACUCGAAAGAUUUAGGGUCGAUCGUCAGAGCGAUCUUCUUUUCUUUCAUAUUUAUUAUUCCCUUUAUAUUCAAGGAUUACCCAAAUGGGAUCUUCAUACUAUUCAAGCAUUCAAACAUGUUAUCCUUCUCUUCCUUGCUGAGAGUGUAACUAGCAGGACGUAAGUAGUGUUGUCCUUUAUCUCUCUUUUCCGAAUGUAGGUCAUCCUGCUGCCCCAUGGCUUUCAGGUCCUGUUGUGCUUCCAAUGUAUCUUUUGAGGGCCCAUAAACACCCAUGAAGCCUAGCACAUUCACGCAAAGGUUCUUCAUCAGGUGCAUCACGUCUAUUGCGUUACGAACCUCUAAGAUUUCCCAAUAAGGUAGCUCCCAAAAUAUUGACUUCUUCUUCCAUAUGGCUGCACAUCUGUCAUCGUCAUUCGGAACAAGUUGGCUACCAAGACCUUUUCCAAAGGCUACCCUUACAUCCUUCAUCAUCUCAAAAACACACUUUCCAUUACGGUGUGUAGGUUUUUUACGAGUUUCUGGGGGCCCUUUGAAAUGCAUCCUGCUGUCUCUCAGCUGGUGGUGAGCGGGGAGAUAUCGACGAUGACCCACAUAGAUGACCUUCUUACAGUGCUUCAAAUAUAUGCUAUCUGUGUUUUCUAAACAGUGAGUGCAGGGCUGAUAUCCCUUGUUUUUCUGUCCUAAAAGGUUACUCAGUGCAGACCAAUCAUUGAUGGUUAUGAAUAACAAUGCUCGUAGGUUAAACAUCUCUUGUUUAUCCUCAUCCCACAAACGCACACCUUCUUCCUUCCAGAGCUAUAAAAGUUCAUCAACCAACGAUUUUAGGUACACGUCAAUGUCGUUGCCGGGUUGUUUUGGGCCUUGGAUAAGCGCCGGCAUCAUAAUGAACUUCCGCUUCAUGCACAACCAAGGAGGAAGGUUGAACAUACAUAAGGUUAGAGGCCAAGUACAAUGACCACUACUCAACUCACCGAAUGGAUUGAAUCCAUCAGUACUUAAAUCAAACCUUAUGUUCCUUGCAUCACUUUCAAAGUCCAGGAAUGCUCUAUCAAUUGAUCUCCAUUGAUCCCCAUCAGCGGGGUGUCUUAGCAUCUUAUCUUGCUUACGUUAUUAUUUGUGCCAUCGCAUCAACUUAGAAUUUACCUUGUUCCUGAACAAGCGCUUCAAGCGUGGUUAUAUAAGGAAAUACCACAUCACUUUCACAAGAACUCUCUUCUUGGGAGGCUACCCCUCGACAUCACCAAGAUCAUCUCACCUGAUCUUAUACCGCAGUGCUUCGCACAUGGGACAAGCAUCCAGUUUCUCGUAUUUAGCACCGCGAUAGAGGAUACAAUCAUUAGGACAUGCGUGUAUCUUCUGAACCUCCAAUCCUAGAGGGCAAACAAUUUGUUUAGCUUCAUAUGUUGUGGAUGGCAAUUCAUUAUUCUCGGGAAGAAUCUUCUUGACAAUUUUCAACAUCCCCUGAAAUGCCUUAUUGGACACACCAUAUUUGGUCUCCAUUGCAUAAAUUCUAGUAUGGUACCUAGUUUUUUAGGCCCUACUAGCAAUCUGGGUACAAUAAUUUUUGGUGAUCAUCUAUCAUGCACUACAACUUUGCUGCUUUCUUGUCAGUUUCGCAAUCUCUUUGUGCAUCCCUUAGCACCUGACCGAGGUCAUCAGUAGGGCCAUCUUCUACAAACUCAUCUUCAUCAACCUCGUCCAUUGUAGUAUCUGCAAAAGCUUGGCCUGCAUCUCAGAUCAGAAUAUUGUCAUCAUCAUCCUCCUCUUCGCCGUCUUCCAUUACAACCCCUCUUUCACCGUGCUUGGUCCAAACUAAAUAGUUAGGCAUGAAAUCGUAUCUAAAGACGUGACUAUGAAUAGUCCCCCAGAAAACCUUUGAAUAGUCCUUCUUGUUACUGCAUUGGGUGCAUGGACAACAUAUGAACCCGUUCCAUGGCUUGUUCGCUUUGGCCACUUUGAGAAAAUAAUGCAAGCCAUCAAUAAACUCCUUGCUCCGUCUAUCCCCAUUAUACAUCCAUUGCUGGCCCAUUUGCAUCAAAUUACACAUGAAAAUGAAUUACGCAUGAAAAUAGAUUACAAUCAAACUAUCCAUCACAUUGCUAAAAGUUUAGAUAGAAAUACACAAAUUAAAAUUUCAGACCCAAACAAUAUGGUACACUACAACAAACUCAAAUGUUGCUGAAAGUUUACAUAGAAAUACACAAAUUUAAAUUUGAGACCAACAACAAUAUGAUACACUAUGACAAACCAUUCACUAAGUACUAUCUAGAAGGACUUCAAGCAUUCUUGGGCGGCGAAGAUGAAGGUUUCGCUGACCCAGCCUCAUCCUGUGGUUUAUUUGUACAUCCUACAACGGUAGUACUAAGUGGACCUAAAAUACCCGGGACUGGCAGUGGAGCAUAAUGACCACCAAAAGGAGGUUCCUGACCCGCCGCAACAACAUCUUCAUAACAUCUUCGCAAAUAAUGAAGCAUUGUUUUCUCCCACACGCUCAUUUCUUCAGCUUAUCGUGAGGGCCAAUUAUGGCUUUCCCCUUGCCACGAGAGGAACGACGAUCUCCCCCACCAUCCCACUACCUCCAGCAGCAAAAGCCAUCCCUAUGUACCACAAUUUAUUUAGCUCAUAUUUGCAAAUAACUAUCCCACAUAAUUUACUUAUUCUAAAAAUAACUAAUUACGUAGCUCUAUUUGAAAAGUACUAAACUACGAAAGUACACCUACAAUUUAUUUACCUUAAUUUUAUGGCUAAUUUCUAAAUAUUAAAAACACAUUUACUCUAAUUUUUUCCUAAUACAUAAAAUUAAAAUCCUCUCCAUUCUACCUCACAUUUACUCUCCAUUAUCCCUCACAUUCAAACUAUCCAUCACAUUGUAACUAAAAAAUAUGUAUAAAUACAAAUCCUCUCCAUUCUCCCUCUUUCUAACAAGCAAACUCAUUUUUCUCCCUCUCUAAAGUAUAAAACAAAGCAUAACAACAAUAAAUGAAUGGAGAAAUGAAGUAGCUAACCUUCACAACACUUUGGAUGAGUGAAAUCCCCACAGAAAUGAGGGAAAAAAAUUCGGCAGCACCUCCCCUAGGCUUGCUUCAGCGCAUGGAAAGGAUGAGCUUCUCUGUCUUUGUGGAAUGGAGUGGCCUGGGCUGGACGAGUGGAGGAGGAAGAAAGGCCUCUAUCUUGCAGCUUUAAGGGGAAAAGAUUUUAUCUUGGUUGGUAAAUCCAACUGGAACAAAAGUGUGACACUUUUAUCCCGGUUGGAGUUUACUCCUUGUUGGUGGUUCCAACCGGGACGAAGACGCCACCCUUUUUAUCCCGGUUGGAAUUACCAACGAGGAGUGACAUUUUCUAGUUGAGUAACUCCAACGGGGAUAAAAGGAUGGCGCUUAUAUCCCGGUUGGAACCACCAACAGUGACAAAAAUGUGGCGCCAUCGGUGCUCGGAAUCUAGCCGUUACAACCGGGAUAAAGGGGGGGGUCUUUAGUCCCGAUUGUAAAUACCAACCGGGAGUAAAGGUCUGCCCCAUUCCAGCGGUGCACCCCCUUUUCUUCCAGGCCUACUUUAAAUCGGGACUAAAGGGCGCGGAUCGAAAGUCAGUUCUCUACUUUAGUGCACGUUUCUAAAAAUAGAUGAACCUAAUUAAUAUAGUAAGGCUAAGGCACAAAGGCUGGCUCAUCCAUCUGAUGCACGAAUGACCACAUAUCUGUUUCUAUCAAAGGCAUCAGUUGAUAGUGACCGGACCACCGAAUAGAGACAUGGGCUGGAUUUUGUGCAUGAAGAUGAAGGCCCUACCAGCUUAAUCUUGCGGCUUGUGUAGAUCGGCAAAGCAGGGCGGACGUGAAGGUCGUCACCCUCUGAAGUUGCAGGUUGCUUUAACCAGCAUCCAACGUAGGCAACUCUUUGUGCUUUAAUCUGUUGCAUGCUCAACACUACCGGCAUGAUCCUAGUGCACCAGCUGCUCUGAAGAAAAUCGUUGUUGUGGUUCAGUAUCACCAAACAGAUGCUACUGUGAAGUGUGCUACUGCCAUUCUAUCCAUACAGUGUCGACUCUUCCUUUUCCUGAAAAACACAGCAGCUCUCUGUCAGUUUACUGAUGGAGAAAGAGUUGAAUAUAUUAUAUUGAGAGAUGGCACACCUUGAUUACAUAUGCGACGCACCUUUUAGUUGUUUUCAGGCUGAUGCGUAUUUCCCUUUUGCCUUGUAUUCCCAACCAGCCGUGCAGAGUAGUUGCAACUGGCCUAUCCAACCGGAAUGCAACUGGCCUAUCACACGAGUCGCAAUUGGUAUACCAUUAGAGAAUUGGUCUAGCACCGGUGUUGCAAUUUGUGUACGACGGAAGUUGCAAUCGGUUGACCGUCUAAGUUGCAAGUGGUAUACAAACGUAGCUACAACUAGCCAUCCAGGGCAAUCGCAACUAGCCUACCCAACCGGAAUGGAACUGGCCUAUGACACGAGUCGCAACUGGUCUACCACCAGAGUUGCAAUUUGUGACGACGGAAGUUGCAAUCGGUUCAAGGGAUGAGUUGCAACUCAUAUACAAACAGUGCUGCAACUAGCCGUCUAGGGCAGUCGCAACUGGCCUAUCACACGAGUCGCAAGUAGUCUACUAGAAUAUUGCAAUUUGUUUACGACGGAAGUUGCAAUUGGUUCAAGGGAUGAGUUGCAACUGGUACACAAACAGUGCUGCAACCAGCUGUCCAGUGCAGUCGCAACUGGCCUAACCAACCAGAAUGCAACUGUCCUAUCACACGAGUCGCAACUCGUCUACCACCAGAGUUGCAAUUUGUGUAUGACGGAAGUUGCAAUUGGCUGAGGGUCUGAGUUGCAACUAGUAUACAAACGGAGCUACAACCAGCCAUCCAAGGCCGUCGCAAUUGGCCUACCCAACCGGAAUGGAACUGUCCUAUCACACGAGUCGCAAUUGGUCUACCACCAGAGUUGCAAUUUGUGACGACGGAAGUUGCAAUCGGUUCAAGGGAUGAGUUGCAACUGGUAUACAAAUGGUGUUGCAACCAGCCAUACAGGGUAGUCGCAACUGGUCUACCACAAGGUUGUAAUAAGGGCACUUAUCUGAUUGCAUCUAGUGCCAGUUGCAACCGGGCCCUUAACUGAUUGCCUCUGUUUCUGAUUUAAAAAAAAAAAACUCCUCUGUUCCAGCAGUGCAGGGGACAACCAUGAAACAACAGAAUCCUUCCAUUCCACCAAGCAAGAACCUAACCUGCACGGAGCCAAAACUACCACCCCCACCAUCAUCUAUCUGCGACUACUACGAGGGAUAACAGUAACAGCACACUGGCGGCGACGACAUUCUCAGAUGGAGGUGGAAUCUUGCACGAAGUAUAUGUAUCUGCUGAUUCAAAUAUCAUUCAGUAAAAUUCAGCAUGAAAACUAAAUAAGUGUAUCAUCUUUACCACCAAUCUCAUUUCAAAGUUGAUGGCAAUGACAUGUUUUAUCUACAUGGUGUGUUUCUGCAUUCCAGCGAUAACGGGGAGAAAUCAAAACAAAAAUGAAUACUAUUUUCUUUACAUUGACAUUUGUAAAGUAGUAUGGCUCUAGGUUUAUGUUGAUCCCCAUUCCCAGUUCUUGGUCAAAAUGAACCAUUAAGCUGGUCAAUCUAGGAACCAGCCAGUGAUGCCGAGUUCACAGCGGUACCAAAGAAGAGCUCCCAGAACCAAAGAUCCACCGCGAGCACUGAAGAAAAGAUGAGCAGAGCAAGUGUCCCAUAUCUAUUCAAAGGCCAGCCUGAAGCCUCUGCCAGUGUCUUCAAGAAUGGGAGGGAUUUGCUUUCUAGCUCUCGUCUCCUUAUUGACCAUGCUGUAACCCACUGCACAUCAGCUGGGACCAUAUGGAGCUCUUCUCCAAGGCGUCUACCCAGGUCAGGCAUAUGUCCACCACCAUAAAGAACUGCUAUUCUCUUGUACCCGCGGUUUAUUGCUUCCUUUAUCUUCUCAGUGGCAACUCUGUUCGAUAAACUGACUUUUCCUCAACAGGAGAUGUCACAGCUGUGAAUCUUUAAUAAAAACAAAAAAUAAUUAGUUCAUACUUCACUUACACUUAUUUUGCCUGUCUGGAUUCAGAGUACUCACUCAGAUGUCAGUUGCUUUGCCAAGAAAAUCUUCAGUGCAGCUCCAAAAUCUAGCUUAGACAAUGCCUCCAGCUCAGGAAAUCCAUCUUGGUUCUCUACUGGCAUCUUGAUUUUCUCAGAAAAUUUCGCUUGGCAUCAAAUAGGAACACGAUGGGGAAACGAAGGAACUCGAGAAAAAUCGAGUGGAUGGGUACCAAAUUGCUCGCGCUUCUAGCAGACGACAGGCUCGUGCAAAAUCAAGCAACGUGACGCCACGGGGGAUUCAAUCCCCGCACCCCAGCAGCAAACAUUCCUCAAAGGAAGCACGAACUUGAAAAUCCGCAUCAGCAACCACCAAUCUGGGUCCCAAAAUCGUGCCGAGCCGAGCAACAAACGAAUCCAGCAUCGCGAUGAACUAAGCAGAAGUGGGGAUGGGGAUCCGGCGGCGGCCAUCGACGAGCUCAGAGCUCCAGGGCCGAGACGAGCCUCCCGCUGGCUGCGCUCGCUCGCCCCCUGCUCGUGCGCUCGCCGCUCGCACCGAGGGGAUCCGCAGCCGCACGUGCAGACGCAUGGUCGCAGACGAGCGGGGAGGGCCCGAGGGGGCCUGACUCUAGAAAACCUGAAAAAACUCCACUGGGAAUCCAUCAAGCCCGGAGCUUUUGUUAUGCUUCACUUGAAAAAUAGCUCCUCUAACUUCCUUUUCAGUAAACUUUUUAAUCAAGAUCUCAUUUUCUUCUCUUGACACUUGUGGGAUAUCCUCUGUCAAGGAUUCGUUCGUAGAACAAAUGUUUCUUAUCCGUGAUCCAAAUAAGAUUUUAUAAUACUUAGUUAUGUAUUUUUUAAGAUUUACAUCCCCUUCUAUAAUUCCCUCUUCUUGUUCCACCUGAAAACUCUAGUUUUCUGAUGCUUGCCAUUAGCUAUCAUAUGAAAAUAUUUUGCAUUGUUGUCCCCAUUUAGCAUCUUAUUGCUUUUCGCUCUUUGAUACCAUUUUAUUUCUUCUGAUCUCAAAAGCUAUAGUCUAUCCUGAAUAUAUUGCUUUAAAUCACUUUCUUACUGACUUAGUAGCUACGAUUCUACCUUUUUGUCUAGCUCAUUUGCCUUUUUAAGGAGCUCUUGUUUUUUUUAUAUUCCCCAUUCACAUUUUUUGCCCAUCUUCUCAGAAAUUGCCUUACCCUUCUGAUCUUGUUUUGCUAUUUUUGAAGAGGAGUGGAACCUUUUCUUUCUUUGCUCCAUACAUCAGAUACUAGUUCAAAAAAAUCCUCCCUUAAAAGCCAUCUUAGUUCAAAUUUAAACAUGGGUUGCUUUCUGCUCCCACCUUCCUGUCCAAUGUUAAACAGCAAAGGUGUAUGAUCUGAAAUUUCCCUACUCAUGGUAUCAUCCGUAGCUAAAGAAAAUUGUUGUUCCCAUUCCGUGCUGACCAACACUCUAUCCAAUUUUUCAUAAGUUGGGGUUUUUAAGGAAUUAGCCCAUGUAUACUUCCUCCUAACAUUUCUACCUCCUUUAAAUUUAAGCUAUCUAUGACAACAUUAAAAAGAAAGGGCCAUUUAUCCUCAUACCUUUCAUUGUUUUUUCACAUAGGUUUCUUAUGAUACUAAAAUCUCCCCCAAGUACAAUGGGUAAGUUCUCUUUACUACAAGCAUGUACAAGCUCAGUAAGGAAAGCUUCCUUAAAUUCUGGCUGUGUUGCCCCCUUAGACAGUCACCAAUACAAACUAGAAAUUGUCCUUUCUUGUCCUUAAUCUAAACUUCACAUAAAAAUCUCCUUCAUCAAUACUACCUAUGUCUAACUCAUCUAGAUCUACUGCUAAGAGAAUACCACCUGAUCUUCCAUGUGGUUUUGUCCAAUGUCAAAUAAAAUUUUUACCCCCACAUAAAUUACUUAGUGUGGUUUGGGUAAAAUCUCUUUUUCCUGUUUCUAGAAGAGCAAUGAAAGAUAAGUUAUGCUCUUUGGUAGUAUCCAAGAGAAAUAUUAUUUUAGCCAAGUCACUAAGACCUCUGCUAUUCUAGAAGAUUCCCCUCAUUUGGAAACAAUAUUGACAUUAAAUUUGGAAAUUUUUACUUUACAAGUCUUUCUCUUUUGCGACUUAGCACAAGACUUGUGUUUUCCAACCUUAGAAUAGUAUUCUAUGUAACUAUUAUCCUCAUCAAAAACUUCUUCCAAAAGUUCCCCACAAAGGUUCUGAAUUGCUCUGCUUUCUAUUUCUUCUCUCUCCUUAUCCUCCCUGUCACUGUCCAUAGUCAUCUCACUUUGGUUAUCUAACCCUUCGUAUUGAUCUAUAACACUACUUUCUACAGUAAGGAUUUCUCUUUCCACCCUUUCCCUCUCCUUUUCGCCCUCACCCAGCCUAACACCUAGUUGGCUUACAUUACAAACAACAUUAUUCAGAGGAAAAGGAAAACAAUGUUUAGUAUCAGUGUUACCUUUAUUAUGCUCCAGGUUCUUUCUAGCUUUCAUCUUUCUGUCUUACUUAGAAUGUGCUCAUCCCCUGAGUUAGCCAAUCUUGGACUAGCCCUUGUUGGCGUGAUUAGUACCUCAGGAAUUGUAGCCACCUUCUUCAAAUCAUCUCUUCCCUCUUCCUACUCCCAACUGCUCUCUACCUCCUGUUCUUCAUUUUGAUCAUUCAUCACCUGAUCUGCCAAAUCCUCCGGAGUUUUAUCCACCGCUCUAUUCAUUAUUUCCUUAGCCUUUUCCUUAAGAAACAAUUUAAAAUCCAUUUCAUUCAUCCUUUGGACUCUCUCUUUGAGUGAUUCUUUAUCAGCCCAGCCUUGCUCAACCUGCUUAUUUUCUGUACUGUUGUCUUCCUUCUCUUUGCACAUACUGCUAUUUUUCCUUCUUUUUAUCUCUAUUCAUAUCUGGUUCAUCCUCCAUGAGAUCAUCAUCACUGUCUUCUCCCUAUCCUUGUCCUUCUGCAUCUCCCUUCCAAUCAAAUACAACUUCCUCUCCAUUCUCAUCAGUCCCCCUUCUUUCCACCUCAAGAUCUAGUUCAAAGUAAUGAUCCUCUAUCACCACAUCUAGAUGUAGGGGGAUAAGUAAGGGGUUAAGGGCUGCCACACAUACCCUUCCAAAUUCAUUUUCUCUAGUCAUCUCCAUAUCAACAGUUUGGGUAGAUCCCAGCAUUGAUCCCACUGCCCAUAGAUUCACAUACUCCCUUAAGGACUUUCUCAAACCAAACACUCUUACCCACACUUUAGGGAGAAGAAACCCAUCUUUUUUCUCUUGCCAAGCUUCAAAUUGCAGUCUCACACAUGUCUGCACUCCAUCUUCUCUAACAUCUACCCCUCCAAAAGCUAUUGCUCUCUAAAGUUCAGAUUUUGAGGGGAAUUUGGUAAUGAAAGUGUUAUCUUCAUUAUCCUCUAAUUCCCAUUUCCAUUUUCCAGAAUACAGCCUUUGCAAUUGUGAGACUACGUGUUUCUUGGAUAGCUGCCCUCCUCCAAUUCUAAUCUGGGCCUUCUUACCAAAUAAGAAUAGACCAAUGUGCGAGUGCUAAGGUGCAUGGGAAAUUGGAGACAGUAGAUUGGAGGCGAUACAUUGGGAAAUCAGUAUUGUAGCAGUUAGCUACUUGUUUGCUGUCAGGUACAGAAUCCUGAACAGAUGGCAUCUGCUUGACUUCAGUAGUUCAGUUAGUCUCUGUUUCACCAGGGGAUGUACUUGUUGCAACUAGUUCAGUACGAAGACUGAUAUGGGAGCAUCACACAAACCGUGAUAUUAACAGAAAAAAUGGGGUUACAGAUACAAAACUUAGAUAGCACGCAACUACAUUGUCAAGAAGAAUUGUAGAUCCCAGUUCUGGAAUAAGAAUAAGAAUACAGAUUUUUUAUUUUGUCAAACAAAUAGCCCAGAAGACGAUCCAAGAUAAAUCUUUGAUAAAAACAAGAUAAUAUACUUUGAUAAAAACAAGAUAAUAUACUUAACGAUGUCCCCUUUGUCAGACAGAGAUAUCAAUUACCCUGUUCUUGUGCUGUCUUUAGGAGUUCUUGUGCUUCUUUCACUAGAGAAGCGAGAGACCUCGCUGGCUUGAUCACCUCACGAUCAUUCCCAGCAAAGAGCAUGCAGUUAUCAACCUCUGACAUGGUUCCCAAAGUCUCGGUCAGUGCUUCCUUGAAAUUAUGUUCCUUGAAAUAUCGGAUGCAGCUGGGCUUGGCUUGAGUCAUAGCUAUCACCAUCUGGCAGGUAAGUUUCACUACUCUCAAACACUCAGACUCAGCCAUGCAUUGCUUGUUUACUUUCAGUAUGUCUUUGAGCUUCUUCGCAAGUGCUGCAUCUUCAGGGGUGGAUCGAGCAAAAUCUUCUCUACUGAUCACAUUUUCUUUGCAUAUCACCACGGCGAGGGAUAACAUGGCUGCCAUAAACUUUCUAUCUUCUGGGGGCUGGUUUUCCACAAAAUUUUCAGCUGCAUCUGCACCCAUUUUACUAGAUAAUAUUUGAUCGAUCACCUGUAACAAACAUAAUAAUUUGAUGCAAAGGAUCAGCAAUAUUGAUGCAACUCAUCUCUAGUGGAAAUUUUUGUACACUACAGAAUUAAGAGAAAUUAACUGACAUCUGAGAAUUGGGAAUAAGAUCCAACAUGAUGCAGAGGCAGAAGAAGCGAGAGUUGUUGUCAAUUCUUCUUUUGUUCUAAACAAAAUAGGCAGAGGUAGCUAGUUACCUUGGUCAAUAGGUUGAUCGCCUCUUGCUUGGAAAUUAUAUCAGCAACAUAAACAUCUCUUUCUCUUGCAGUGCUAACGGGAAUCAACCUGGCCAGUGCUUCCCCUGCUUUUCCCCUCAUCAGUCUGGUGGCAUUUUCCCUGUCUGCUUGUUCCACUUGAACUACAGUAUUAUUGCUGGGCGCUUCCUCAAGGAAGAUGCAUAGCAGGGCCUUGAGAAGCUUGUUAAACUCCAGCUUUUUGAAAGAAUCAUCAAAGGCUAGCUCCGUCAGGAUCUCCAGGGCUUGUCCAUGCAGUUCUUGGGCAGCUCCGCUGUCAGUCUCCAAAAUAGCCAUCAGAUUGCUGACAGCUUCUGUGGUACUGGCAAGUUCCUGGCGCAGCCUUGUGGCGCCAUCCCCAGGGCAGGCAAGUAUCCUGCUUAAUGCUGUGAGUGACUUGCUUAGCAUUGGAACAACCAUUGUGUCCUCCCGCACAAUGAUGAGAAAGUCAGGGCUGCUCAGAGGUGAUGUGAUCUUAGAGAUCAGCACUUGCUGUUUGCUUAUCUCUGUACAGUUUACUUUGUCUCGUGUGAGCCCCUCAAGAAUCAGCAGGCCUUGAGAAACCAAUUCUUUGGGUCCUCUAAAGGUAUAAGUAAAUCUCGACUCCUUUAUA
rnacentral:lncRNA from 1 species